UACGUAGGGUGCUAGCGUUGUCCGGAAUUAUUGGGCGUAAAGAGCUCGUAGGCGGUUUGUUGCGUCGGCUGUGAAAUCCCGAGGCUCAACCUCGGGUCUGCAGUCGAUACGAGCAAACUAGAGUGUUGCAGGAGAGACUGGAAUUCCUGGUGUAGCGGUGAAAUGCGCAGAUAUCAGGAGGAACACCGGUGGCGAAGGCGGGUCUCUGGGCAGCAACUGACGCUGAGGAGCGAAAGCGUGGGGAGCGAACAGG
rnacentral:rRNA from 1 species